rnacentral:lncRNA from 13 species
AGAAAUAACAGAAAGGUGCUUUGAGGGGUUUAACUUCCUGUGUGGGCAGAUGGGGAAUGCAUGCAAUUGGCUGGAAUUAGAGCAUUGACGUCAACUUGCCCCCUUUUUUUGUAGCCACAGAUGGUUGAAGCUGGCCCUUUAUUUGAAGAAAUGACAAUAGAUGUUUGUGUGGAGGUUUAGUGUUUACGAAGCGAUCCACUAACACUAUCUCUUGGAAUCCUCACAACAGCAGUGGGGAGAAGGCCUUGCAGGCACAAUCCCUGUUACAGAUGUGGAAUCUGGGGCUCACAGUUUGGACAACUUGCUGGAGGUCAUCAGCUAGUCAGACAGAGCUGAGAUACAAGCGCAGGUCUCAGAACUCUACACCUGGGGUUUUCCUCUCUGCCUGGCACUUGGGGACAAGGCUGGAGUGCAAUGGCGCGAUCUCGGCUCACCGCAACCUCCGCCUCCUGGGUUCAGGCAAUUCUCCUGCCUCAGCCUCCUGAGUAGCUGGGAUUACAGGCACAAGCCACCAUGCCCAGCUAAUUUUUUG